GAUGAACGCUAGCGGGAGGCUUAACACAUGCAAGUCGAGGGGUAUUUCGAGCAAUCGGGAGAGACCGGCGGACGGGUGCGUAACGCGUAUGCAACUUACCUUAUACAGGGGGAUAGCCCGUGGAAACGCGGAUUAACACCCCAUAGGACAAUAGUGCUGCAUGGCACGGUUGUUAAAACUGAGGUGGUAUAAGAUAGGCAUGCGUCUGAUUAGCUUGUUGGUAAGGUAACGGCUUACCAAGGCGACGAUCAGUAGGGGUUCUGAGAGGAUAAUCCCCCACACUGGUACUGAGACACGGACCAGACUCCUACGGGUGGCUG
rnacentral:rRNA from 1 species